rnacentral:rRNA from 1 species
AGAACGAACGCUGGCGGCGCGCCUAACACAUGCAAGUCGAGCGCCUCACUUUCGGGUGGGGAGCGGCGCACGGGUGAGUAAUGCGUGGGAACCUACCAUGGGGUUCGGGACAACGGCGGGAAACUGCCGCUAACACCGGAUACGGCCUUCGGCAACGGAGGCGAAAGGUUACGCCCUGUGAUGGGCCCACGUCCGAUUAGCUUGUUGGUGAGGUAACGGCUCACCAAGGCUGCGAUCGGUAGCCGGUCUGAGAGGAUGAUCGGCCACACUGGGACUGAGACACGGCCCAGACUCCUACGGGAGGCAGCAGUGGGGAAUCUUGGACAAUGGGGGCAACCCUGAUCCAGCGACGCCGCGUGGGUGAUGAAGGCCUUCGGGUUGUAAAGCCCUUUUGUCGGGGACGAUGAUGACGGUACCCGGCGAAUAAGCACCGGCUAACUCCGUGCCAGCAGCCGC